AAAAAGUUAUUAAAGCAUUAAACGGAUACCUGAACAUUUUGAUCUGGACGUUAAUAACGAAAUAAUAAAUUGAGUAAAGAAUAUUGCUUUGAUAUUUAUUUAUCCAAAAUAAAAAAUUAUAUAACAAAAAAUUAAACUUAAUAAAAAUAGUGAACUGAAACAUCUUAGUAACUAUUAGAAAAAUCAAUCGAGAAAUUAUUAGUAGUGGCGAACGAAAAUAAAACAAAUAAUUGUUUAAAUUGUACCGAAGAAGGUAACAUCUUAUAUGAAGUCCUGUAAGCAAUUUUUAAAGCUAAAAAUAAAAUGGUAAUAUACUAUUUAAAUUUUGGGAAACCAUUCUCAAAGCUGAUAAAUUAAAAUGUUUUAUAGUAAAAAGUACUGUAAAGGAACGGUGAAAUAGAAAUUUCGAUAUUUAAAAGAUCUUCAAAUUUAAUGCACAAAAACUGUUAUUGUUGUUAAAAUUAUAACGUACCUUUUGUAUAAUGGAUCAAUGAGUUUAUUUUAAAAGCAAGCUGAGAGCAAAAAAAAAAUAAAAUUAAAUAAUAUAGUUUUUAAAAUAAAACCCGAAACUAAGUGAUCUAACCAUGAACAAGUUGCAUUUAAUGCGGUAACGCUUAAAGAAGGACUGAACUCGUGUCUGUAGAAAAAGGCUGAGAUGAUUUGUGGUUAGGAGUGAAAGGCUAAUCAAACUUAGAAAUAGCUGGUUUUCUGCGAAAUCUAUUUAAGUAGAUCGUUUUAAUAUAAAUUUUAAGGUAGAGCACUUUAUAAAUAUAGGAUAUUUUAAUAUUACUUUAUUUUUUAAAACUCCGAAUAUAAAAUUAACAAAUUAAAAUAGACAGACUAAAAGUGCUAAGAUUUUUAGUCAAAAGGGAAACAGCCCAAAUUUUACGCUAAGAUCUUUAAGUAAAAUUAAGUGAUUAAAUAUAAAAAAAAUAAAAAAAAUUUGAAAGUAAACUUGGAAGCAGUUAUCUUUUAAAGAAAGCGUAACAGCUCACAAAUUGAAUUUUUUUUAUUAAAAAUGUAAAAAGACUAAUAUUUUACAUCGAAGCGAAAAUUUUAAACAAAUGUUUAAAAGGUAGCAGAACGUUCUGUAAAUUUAAGAAAAUUUAUGGUUACAUAAAUUAGAAAAAUCAGAAGUGAUAAUAUUGAUAUGAGUAACAUAAAACAUUGUUUAAACAAUGUCAUUUUAAGUUUAAAGUUUUUUAAAAAAAGAUAAACUUUUUAAAAUAAAUCGGCCUCUAAGAAAUCUUAUGAAAAUAAGUUUUAAUGAGAUAUAAAUAGUGACAAAAUAAAAAAAAAAUUUUUAUUUUUUGUAAUAAUAUUUCUUUUUUAUUAUUUUCUAGAAACAGCUUUUAUAAUAUACCGUACUUAAACCGACUCAGGUAAACUAGUUGAGUAAACUAAAAUGAUUGAAGUAAUUAUAUUGAAGGAACUCGGCAAAUUAACUCUGUAACUUCGGAAAAAGGAGUAAUUAAAUAAUUUUUUUAUUUAAUUGUCACACAAAAAAAGACAGCGACUGUUUAACAAAAACACAGGUCUUUGCAAAUUUGUAAAAAAACGUAUAAAGACUGACGUCUGCCCGGUGCUGCAAGACUAAAAUUAAUUGUAAAUGCUUUUAAUCAAAAUCCCAGUAAACGGCGGCUGUAACUCUGACGGUCCUAAGGUAGCGAAAUUCCUUGGCAUUUAAUUGAUGUCCUGCAUGAAUGACGUAACGACUGUCUUACUGUCUCCAAUAUAAUCUCAGUGAAAUUGAAAUUUCUGUGAAGAUGCAGAAUUUUUAUGGCUAGACGGAAAGACCCCGUGCACCUUUACUAUAAUUAUAUAUUGUAAAUAAUUUUUUUAUAUGCAGAAUAAAUGGAAAUAAUUAAAAAAAGUUUUUGCUAAAAAAUUUUAAAUAUACCAAUGAGAUACCAUUUUUAAAAUAUAUUAUUUACUACAAAUUUAACAGUGUAUAAUAGGUAGUUUGACUGGGGCGGUCACCUCCUAAAAAGUAACGGAGGUGUACAAAGGUAAGUUAUAUUAGAAUUUACUAUAUAAAACGUAAUAGUAAUACUUGCUUAACUGUAAGAUUGAUAAAUCAAACAGAAACGAAAGUUGGUUAUAGUGAUCCGAAAAAUUUGAAUGGAAAAUUUUUCGCUUAACAAAUAAAAGGUACGCCGGGGAUAACAGGCUAAUUGUUUUUUAGAGACCCUAUCGAUGAAACAGUUUGGCACCUCGAUGUUGGAUUAUUGCAUCCUGAAACUGAAGAAGGUUUCAAGGGUUUGGCUGUUCGCCAAAUAAAGCAGUACAUGAUCUGAGUUCAGAACGUCGUAAGACAGUUUGGUCCCUAUCUACCAUGAAAUUAAAAUUAAAAGGAUUGUUUUUUAGUACGAGAGGACCGAAAACAGCAAAUCUAUGGUAAAUCAAUUGUUAGACAAAUAGCAAGUUGAAACGCUAAAUUUGUAAUAGAUAAAUGUUAAUAUUAAACAUGAAACUUACCUUCAAAUUUUUAUUAUAUUCGUAAAAAAUAAUUACGUGAUAGGCUUAUAAUGUAAUAAUUGUAAAAUUUUUAGUUUUAAGUACUAAAAUU
rnacentral:rRNA from 1 species